UGACAAUGAAGUUGACAUAUUUCUAAAUUUGAACAUUGAUUUCAAUCUAUUUAACAUAGUUCAGUGAUUUAAUUACUCGUAUUUUUUUUAGCGGCAUGAUGUUCAUUUCGUUUUCGAUUUCGUAAAAGAUAACGUUUGUUUAUUCGAACGCGCCAAUUGAGAGACACAAGUGUUGAAUAUCUCGGACAUAUAAACGCGGAGACUCGCUCGCAUCUGCUAACCGACGACGGUGUGACACAAAGUGGGAGGCAAUUGCAAACAGACCCACGCCUUGCUGCUUGAUAUUUGCAUUGGUUGCGGAAACCAGACUGCGUCGAUCGCGCUCGGUCGAAUAAAUGAAUUUAGAUUUGUGAGUUCGCCGAGUGCAAGCAGUUUCCAUUGCUAGGCCGUAUCUGAAUUCGCUUAGCAACACGCGCACACUUCAUAUUUCGGACGGUGCUGAUGUCGCGAAUAACAAACAAUCGUUUGUACCACUUUCUUAUCCUAUUCGUUUCUACGCCACUUUUAUACGCAUCAAAGCAACAAGUUUCUAACAUUUAUAAGUUCUAGGUCAGCAGGAGCGAACAAGAAAAAGACGUAGAAAGGAGAUGAAAAUAAGGCAGGAGGAGGAAGGAAGAUCGAUGCAUAAAGACUGCGGAUCGAGUCCCAGUUUGCAUAAUUCAUUCGACUGGUCGGCGAAUGCAUAUUAUACCUCAGGAUAUCUAGCCGGCUCGAACAGCGGGAUCAGGAUGCAAGGACCUGCGCUCUGAAUAUGAGGUCGAGUCGCCAAAUCGUCUGAAGAUGGUUCGGCAUCGAUAACCGCAACUACUAGCCGUCGCGAGGACGCUAGGAUCUAAAAGGAUCGGGUGUGUGUGCGUGUCCCUCAAAGAGAAAAAUAUUUCGUAACAUUUGCGAGAUAUCCUGACCCGACUACGAAAUUAUGUCAUUGCACGAAUUUCAAGGAUUUUGUUGAAAUCCGCAUUUCAAGCGGCGAGCGCAGUAUGCCAUUCUAAGUUGCGGCAUUUUUUUAUUUUGUACAGCUGUACGUUAAAAGUAGUUCGUGACGAUGCAAGCGCGAAAAAAAAUUAAAGUUACGAGAUAUUUUCGACGACUCAUGUUGAACGUUAAGCGAUUUAACUCGCUCAAACGUUCAGUAGCGUUACUUACAAGCGCGCGGCAUCUGCUCCACCUGUCUAUCGAUUUUUCCGGAAGCGUCGUCGGGGCGGCUUCCUCGUGGCGGAAGGUGCGUGCCCAUAUGGGUGGACCGGAUCUCUCCCUCGUUCCUUCCAUCUCGUCUCUUACACCUCAAGGAACCCACCCCAGGCGAACCGGAAUCAAGUUCAAUUGUCUCGCGGUGGCUUUUGGACGCGUGAGAAAUCUGCGAGCAGCUGUUUCGCCGGGGGUUGCUCUCGCUGCUCGUCGCCGGUAGCGUGUGACGUCACGUCACGUUUUACUUGUCGUUUACUUGGUCAAACGAGGAGGACGUGAUCAUAUGUGCGACGACGGGGAGAGAGAGAGGGAGGAAAAGGGAGAGACGCGCGUAUAUUAUUGCGCAGUGCGCGGAUGCAAAUUAGAGACGUCUCGAAGGGGUUAAAGUUAAGGGUUCGAACGAGACCCUGAGGGCGCCGAAAUACUGGCUAGACCUCCUAUAAGAGGAAACAGGCAGAGUUUCUCGAUAUCCUCUUUCGGAAAUCUCUCGCCGCUCUUUCUUUAUUUCUACGUGUUUCCCACGACCGCCCUCCCGUUACUCGCUUCGGUAUUUUAAUUAGGUCUACUGUUGUUGUUACUUCUAGUUGUGCUUCCGUAACAAUGCGAUUGUGAUCUGCUCGUCAUAAGACUGAUUGUACGUUACGUAUAUAAUUAUGCUAUGUUUUCGUUUAGGGUUUAAGUACAAUGCAAUUGUGUCGAGAAAAUUGGGACGCUAUUUUUGAGAAUGACGAAAUAAUUUUUUGUUACUUAUAUACAUCACAUUGUGUAUUGCGCGUUUUAGUAGUUUCUUUAUUAUUUUCAAAUUUUAUUUUUAUAAUAAAUAAAUCUGUGAUA